UUUAAUAAUAUUGUUUUGUUAUUUUUCUUCCUCAUCUCUCUCUCUUUCGCGAAUCUCUCCAGUAGAGAUUUGUCUCAAAAUCGGAAUGACAAUCGGCGAGUUGUUCUUUGAAAACGUUGAGUCUCCUUCACCAAAUCAAAGCGUUGAGUCUCAUUCACCAAAUCGAAGUGUUGAGUCUCCUUCACCAAAUCGAAGUGUUGAGUCUCCUCCAUUUCUCUUGUGUCCUCCUCUCAAGUCAGUCAGGAUUCUACUCUAAAGCUGUUUGACGGCUGUUCAUCUAGUUGCAAAUGCAGAGGUGAGUGUACCAACAAGCCGUUCCAACAAAGACAUAUUAAGAAGAUGAAGUUAGUUCAGACAGAAAUGUGGAUAUGGGAUUGCAACAGAUGAAGAUAUAUCAUCGAAUAUGUGGGGAAGUUUCUUAUUUCGUUUUGUUAUAUUGGAGUGGAGAUGCCAAGUGUAUUACUCGUGGCAGCAAUGACAAAUUGCAAGACCCACCUGUAUCAAGUGGUGAAGGAAAUGGUGGACAAGAUGGCUUACGAAGUAUGUCUCAUGGUUUCAGUUUGUCCUCAUUUUUGUAAUCUCCUCUUCUUGUGAACAUAUUGUUUCAUGGAUUUUUUGGUCACUCUUUCAGUUUUUAUUCUUAAGAACCCAAUUAUAGUUUGUAGUUUGUACCUUGG